rnacentral:rRNA from 1 species
AGCUGGUCUGAGAGGAUGACCAGCCACACUGGAACUGAGACACGGUCCAGACUCCUACGGGAGGCAGCAGUGGGGAAUAUUGCACAAUGGGCGCAAGCCUGACGCAGCCACGCCGCGUGUAUGAAGAAGGCCUUCGGGUUGUAAAGUACUUUCAGCGGGGAGGAAGGGAAGAGGGUUAAUACCCUUCGUCAUUGACGUUACCCGCAGAAGAAGCACCGGCUAACUCCGUGCCAGCACCGCGGUAAUACAGAGGGUGCAAGCGUUAAUCGGAAUUACUGGGCGUAAAGCGCACGCAGGCGGUUUGUUAAGUCAG